GGUUAAGCGACUAAGCGUACACGGUGGAUGCCCUGGCAGUCAGAGGCGAUGAAGGGCGUGCUAAUCUGCGAUAAGCGCCGGUAAGGUGAUAUGAACCGUUAUAACCGGCGAUACCCGAAUGGGGAAACCCAGUGUGACUCGUCACACUAUCAUUAACUGAAUCCAUAGGUUAAUGAGGCGAACCGGGGGAACUGAAACAUCUAAGUACCCCGAGGAAAAGAAAUCAACCGAGAUUCCCCCAGUAGCGGCGAGCGAACGGGGAGGAGCCCAGAGCCUGAAUCAGCAUGUGUGUUAGUGGAAGCGUCUGGAAAGGCGCGCGAUACAGGGUGACAGCCCCGUACACAAAAGCGCAUGUGCUGUGAGCUCGAUGAGUAGGGCGGGACACGUGGUAUCCUGUCUGAAUAUGGGGGGACCAUCCUCCAAGGCUAAAUACUCCUGACUGACCGAUAGUGAACCAGUACCGUGAGGGAAAGGCGAAAAGAACCCCGGCGAGGGGAGUGAAAAAGAACCUGAAACCGUGUACGUACAAGCAGUGGGAGCACCCUUUGGGGUGUGACUGCGUACCUUUUGUAUAAUGGGUCAGCGACUUAUAUUCUGUAGCAAGGUUAACCGUAUAGGGGAGCCGGAGGGAAACCGAGUCUUAACCGGGCGUUAAGUUGCAGGGUAUAGACCCGAAACCCGGUGAUCUAGCCAUGGGCAGGUUGAAGGUUGGGUAACACUAACUGGAGGACCGAACCGACUAAUGUUGAAAAAUUAGCGGAUGACCUGUGGCUGGGGGUGAAAGGCCAAUCAAACCGGGAGAUAGCUGGUUCUCCCCGAAAGCUAUUUAGGUAGCGCCUCGUGAAUUCAUCUCCGGGGGUAGAGCACUGUUUCGGCUAGGGGGCCAUCCCGGCUUACCAACCCGAUGCAAACUGCGAAUACCGGAGAAUGUUAUCACGGGAGACACACGGCGGGUGCUAACGUCCGUCGUGAAGAGGGAAACAACCCAGACCGCCAGCUAAGGUCCCAAAGUCAUGGUUAAGUGGGAAACGAUGUGGGAAGGCCCAGACAGCCAGGAUGUUGGCUUAGAAGCAGCCAUCAUUUAAAGAAAGCGUAAUAGCUCACUGGUCGAGUCGGCCUGCGCGGAAGAUGUAACGGGGCUAAACCAUGCACCGAAGCUGCGGCAGCGACACUCAGGUGUUGUUGGGUAGGGGAGCGUUCUGUAAGCCUGUGAAGGUGGCCUGUGAGGGUUGCUGGAGGUAUCAGAAGUGCGAAUGCUGACAUAAGUAACGAUAAAGCGGGUGAAAAGCCCGCUCGCCGGAAGACCAAGGGUUCCUGUCCAACGUUAAUCGGGGCAGGGUGAGUCGACCCCUAAGGCGAGGCCGAAAGGCGUAGUCGAUGGGAAACGGGUUAAUAUUCCCGUACUUGGUGUUACUGCGAAGGGGGGACGGAGAAGGCUAUGUUGGCCGGGCGACGGUUGUCCCGGUUUAAGCGUGUAGGUGUGUGUUCCAGGUAAAUCCGGUUCACUUUAACACUGAGGCGUGAUGACGAGGCACUACGGUGCUGAAGCAACAAAUGCCCUGCUUCCAGGAAAAGCCUCUAAGCAUCAGGUAACAUCAAAUCGUACCCCAAACCGACACAGGUGGUCAGGUAGAGAAUACCAAGGCGCUUGAGAGAACUCGGGUGAAGGAACUAGGCAAAAUGGUGCCGUAACUUCGGGAGAAGGCACGCUGACAUGUAGGUGAAGUGAUUUACUCACGGAGCUGAAGUCAGUCGAAGAUACCAGCUGGCUGCAACUGUUUAUUAAAAACACAGCACUGUGCAAACACGAAAGUGGACGUAUACGGUGUGACGCCUGCCCGGUGCCGGAAGGUUAAUUGAUGGGGUCAGCGCAAGCGAAGCUCCUGAUCGAAGCCCCGGUAAACGGCGGCCGUAACUAUAACGGUCCUAAGGUAGCGAAAUUCCUUGUCGGGUAAGUUCCGACCUGCACGAAUGGCGUAAUGAUGGCCAGGCUGUCUCCACCCGAGACUCAGUGAAAUUGAACUCGCUGUGAAGAUGCAGUGUACCCGCGGCAAGACGGAAAGACCCCGUGAACCUUUACUAUAGCUUGACACUGAACAUUGAGCCUUGAUGUGUAGGAUAGGUGGGAGGCUUUGAAGUGUGGACGCCAGUCUGCAUGGAGCCGACCUUGAAAUACCACCCUUUAAUGUUUGAUGUUCUAACGUGGACCCGUGAUCCGGGUUGCGGACAGUGUCUGGUGGGUAGUUUGACGUGGGGCGGUCUCCUCC
rnacentral:rRNA from 1 species